rnacentral:lncRNA from 1 species
AAAGCAUCUUUUAAAAAUAAAAUACAGUUACAACUACCUUAGUAGUUUAUAUUAGAACCAACCUAUCUCAGUAAUUUUUUGGUUGUUGUUAUUUUAGAAGGGGACCAGAAAAUCUGAAGAGAGAAUAUACUUCUUUCAAGAUGUCCCCAUAUGCGUGUUGUUUAUGUCAGAGUUAGAAUCAUAUUAAGAAUUAAAAUUAGUCAGACUAUCACAUUAAAAUUAAGAAGCAAAAAGAACACUGAAGUUCCAAUCUUAAAACAAUAGAGAGCUCAGAAAACAAACUAUUUUCUCACAAAAUAGUGUGAAAUCUGCUAGACUAAAAAUUCAGGAGCUAAAACCUUGCAUCCUGGUUGGUUAUCCUCUUCCAAUGACCUCAGGUAGAUUUUCUGUUGUCCUGCUUCCCCAGAGCCUCCUAUGCCACAGACAGUCCACUUCUGAAAUAACACUAAGCACUUAAGCCAGAACAUAAGGCCAGGCAGACACAGAAUGAAGAGAGGAAUUAAACCCAAUCUUAACUCAUUCAGGACCUAAUUUGUAAAUGAGUCCAGACUCCCCACAUGCCACCUUCUUCAGACACCUCACCUGGGGUCCACUUCACCACUCAUUAGCACCAAAGGAGGUUCAACUCAAACCAAAUGGGUUAGUCAGUAAUCAUCUAGUAAAAAGUUUGAUGAUAACUGACUGAAAUCAAGAGGGUGAAGUAGCAGGUUUAAAUUGACCUCUAAGAGUUCCCACUGGGGCACAAUAGGAUCUGCAGCAUCUUAGGAGCCCUGGGAUGCAGGUUCCAGCCCUGGCCUGCUACAGCCGGCUAAAGAUCCAGCGUUGCCACAGCUGUGGCUUAGGUCGUGACUGCAGCUCAGGCUCAGGUUUGACCCCUGGCCGGGGAGCUCCAUAUGCUGCCAGCAGCCAUAAAUAAAUAAACUAACAAACACACCUCCAGUGAUAACUGCUGUCUUUCAGGCACAGUGCUCACUCCCUCUUCCACCAAGUCUCAUCUCUCUUGCAGACACCAGAAAAACAGCUCAAUUCCCUAAAGCCAAGCACAGGCACUUCUCUGUGUCCUGUGAAAGAGGAAAACCAAACACAGGUGAAGGAAGCCCAAGGGUUUCCAUUUCUACGGCCAUUAAUCUGCAAAGAAGACCCCCAUUGUUUGCAAAUCACAGAAAGCAAAGAAAGGGAAAACAAUGUGAUAUCCCAAGGCUUUCAGAAUCAAAAAGGAUAGGCCAUUUCUGAACCAUGGGUCAAUCCUGAGACUUCUCUACUUAUUCACAAUAAAUUUAUUACAUUAAGUUCACGGAAGAUUUCAAAGCACCUUAUAAAAUAUUAUUGCUUCUACAUAUACCUCUGUAAAGAAAAGCAGUUUUAGCUUAAGAGGGACCUCUGCUUCCUCUUAAGAGAAACUUAAUGUCUCUCUAUCACAUUUCUUGCACAUAAAUACACGUUAAGAUACAAACCCUAUUCACUACACUGCAUCACAAGAGUUUUCAAAACAACAUUAAUUGGUUGAUCAAAAACUUAGAUAAAUCUGGAGUUCCAGUCGUGGCUCAGUGGUUAACAAAUCCGACUAGGAACCAUGAGGUUGCGGGUUCAAUCCCUGACUUGCUCAGUGGGUUAAGAAUCCGGCGUUGCUGUGAGCUGUGGUGCAGGCUGCAGACGAGGCUCAGAUCCCGCAUUGCUGUGGCUAUGGCGUAGGCCAGUGGCUACGGCUCCGAUGCGACCCCUAGCCUGGGAACCUCCAUAUGCCGCAGGAGCAGCCCUAGAAAAGGCAAAAAGACAAAAAAACAAAACAAAACAAAACAAAAAAAAAAAAACUUAGGAGUUCCCGUCAUGGAGCAGUGGUUAACGAAUCCGACUAGGAACCAUGAGGCUGCGGGUUCGAUCCCUGCACUUGCUCAGUGGGUUAACGAUCCGGCGUUGCCGUGAGCUGUGGUGUAGAUUGCAGACGCAGCUCGGAUCCUGCGUUGCUGUGGCUCUGGCGUAGGCUGGUGGCCACAGCUCUGAUUAGACCCCUAGCCUGGGAACCUCCAUAUGCCGCGGGAGCGGCCAAAGAAAUAGCAAAAAGACAAAAAAGAAAAAACUUAGAUAAAUCUAUUCCAUAGAGCAAUGUAAUCAUGCAGUUUGUUAAUGAUCCAGAAAAGGUUUGGUAGUGGUUAGUUAGAAUUAAACACUGAUCUAACUAGAUAAAAUGGAACUACGGUGAUAAUUUGAGAAUCUCAUGUAUCAGUACUUUGCUCUCCACGGAUGACACAGACCCGGCCGUCAGAGCCAUAAGAAUGUGAGGAGGAGGGAGAUGCAAAAUCAAACACAAGAAGGACACCGUAAAUCCCAAAAGGCUGGGAACGGAUGCUCCAGUAAGCCAUAAUGGAUAGACUCUGGGCAGCACCCCAAACCCACACCACUUAAUUUAUUCCCAAAUCCCUUAGAAUCAAAGCUGGGUAAGGAGUCAAAAUAACGUGUGCCACUUAAAUUCUCACUUCUGUCCCAGUAUGAAAAGUUACUACCAUUGGAAUAAGAUAAACUAUGAGCUUUCUUUUACAGAAAGCUGCUAUGUUUAUUCCAAGCAUUUCAAAUACUUCAGAAUUUAUUUCAUCAUUCAGAUAUGAGAAAAUUCUAACAGGUUAACUUCCUACACAGGAAACACAGACUGAGUUUCUCACUUCAUUGAAAAAGACAGCGAGAAGGGGUCAACCUAUUUGCAGGCAUUGGAAAAUGUGACCCGAGUUGAACCACAUUCAUCCACCUGGCUGUCCCCACGAUCUAAUCUCUUUAGACUUCUUUCUCUCAGAUAAGUUAAAUCCAGAUAGAAGUUUUUGAAGGCAUUCUUCACUAACACGACAGAUGUUAACACAUAAACUUUUUGAUAAUUUAACACUUCUACACAGUUAACUAUGACCACCUGAAAUGUCAGCUUGGGGCAUACAGGGUUUUCAUACACAGCAUCAGCCUAACUUCUUAGGACGCCUAUUUUGAUACUCUAAGCACGGGAGCUGAAUUUGUCCAUCUGGUUUUGUGGCUAAGAAGGUUGUCCGAGGCUUUUAAGAAACUGAUUUCUGGGUGAAGAUGGUCCUGUACAUUCUUAACAUACAGGUUACAUCAGGCCUGAUCAACUUUUCUGGAAUAUUAAAACUGUCCCGGUACCAACCUCCUCAUGGAGGACCUCGGACACCAUCAUUCGAUCAGCGCAGUCAUUAACCAUGCCAUGUGUGUCCCCAGGCCAGUAUCCUACGCUCUCAAAAAGCCAAAGAGGAAGGAGAGGUACGUAGGGUGACAACAACCUGGUGCUCAACGUAUGUUCUUAAUUUCCCUUGCCAGAGACUGAAAAUUAUACACAUAAAUACACACACACACACACACACACAUACCAGGUCUAACUGUCUCAGAAGUUUACUCUUCCAUUUGCUGUUUACAAGAAACAGGACAAUGAAAUACUCAGGAUGAAGUUAUGAACCCAAUGACAUCUGUGUAUUUCUAAGUAGAAUUUGAAAACACUGAGCAACAGUUUUAGAAAGCAGAUACCACAGGGUCUUUAGAACCUAGUGUCCAAACCAGUAACUAGCUGGAUCGACAUCUGAGACUUAAAAGGUUGAGACUAUCAUAAAAAUUAUUCAUGAAAAAUGGAGUUCCUGUUGUGGCUCCAUGGUUAACGAACCCGACUAGCAUCCAUGAGGACGCGGGUUCGGUCCCUGGCCUCCCUCAGUAGGUUAAGGAUCCAGCGUUGCCGUGAGCUGUGGUAUAGGUCAUAGACACAGCUCAGGUCCCACGAUGCUGUGGCUGUGGCAUAGGCCAGUGGCCACAGCUCCGAUUCGACUCCUAGCCUGGAAACCAUGGUCCAUGUGCCUUGGGUGAGGCCCUAAAAAAAAGACAAAAAAAUAAUAAUAAUUAUUAUUAUUCAUGAAAAAGGACAACUUCUUACAAUUCCCUUGUGGCACAGCGGGUUAAGGAUCCAGCAUUGUGAGUGCUACGGCUCAGGUCACUGCUAUGGCGCAGGUCUGAUCCCUGGCCCAGGAACUUCUCCAUAUCAUGAGCACACAAGCCACCCCCCUCCAAAAAAAAGCCAAGUUCUUAGGUUUAAUCAGACAUAAAUGGAUCUGAUACAACAAAAACUUUAAGCCAGCAGCUCUACUAUGCUAAUUCCAAACUGAGAGAAAAUGUCCAAGUAUUAAGACUACCCAAAAAAGGAAUAGCAGAAAUAAUAAUGAAAUAAUAAUACCUUUAUUAUACAUUUCCAAAUUCUUUCAUAUCCAUUAAAGUCUAAAUUAAGUCUUUAACUUUUAAAAAGUGAUAAAUUAAUAGCUUACACUGUAGUGUGUGUUAUCUUUAUCAAAGCUCUUUCACAUUCAUUCUGACUUUGUGCUUUUGAUUAAACAUAAUAACAGUGAGAAAGAUGUUCCAGUAAGUCCGUGUUAUCCGCACAGCACCUCGCACACCUACAGAAGAGGUUUUUUCACUCUACAACCUACUACAGCAUUACUACUGGAGGCUUUCCAUAACCACUACUUUUCAAUUCUAUUCUUAAAAUACUCUUUCUCUCAAGGUGGGUAUCCCUGACACCACACAAGUACAAAGACUUUUAUUCCUACUUACUGACAUCAGAAAAGUUAUAUUUGAUUCUACAUUAACCACAUUUAAAGGGAAAAUAGCAUAAUUUUUUAAAUCCACAUAUAACCCCAAAUUUUAAUCCUGACCCAUCCUUUUCUAUGAAAGCAAGAAAUCAAAUAGAACUGACCCACUGGUAUAGGCCCGAACAUGCCAAAAACAGAAGUUAAAGGGAAAAGAAAGCCCAAGUUUAUCAGACUUUGCAGUAAUUUAUGGAGAUACAGUAAUUAAUUCAAUGUUUCUGAGCAAUGAUUUUCUCUAAUUUUAACUGAGUGUGUAGUGGGCAUAUAACUCCUUGUUGUCCUGGAAUUCUUCCCUUUCUUUGGUUAAAAGCAUAUCAUCUUGCCUUGUGACUCUUCCAUUCUGUACAACUCUGUGGGACUGUCAACUGAGGGCAAUCCCACACUCACACACACACACACACACACACAGCCAAAGGGCAAAUUACUUAACAAGGCCAACUAUAUUCUCUCUCCAGGAAAACUAAAUCUUUUUUUUUUUUUUUAAUGGCCACAUCCACAGCAUAUGGAAGUUCCCAGGCCAGGGGUUGAAUCUGAGCCGAAGCUACCAGCCUACACCACAGCUAUGGCGAUACCGGAUCCUUUAAGCCACUGCAAUCAAACCUGCACCUCCCCGGCACCCCAAGCUGCUGCAGCUGGAUUCUUAACCCACUGCACCACAGAGGGAACCCCAGGAAAGCUAAAUCUUAUAACAGGAGAAUGGAAUCCGUUGGUGCCGUCUUUGAGACCAUGGCACCUGAAGGAGACUAUCAUUAGGCGGUUCCUGAAGCCUAGAUCCCCAAAGCUCCGAUUCUUGGCCUCCAAAGCCCUGAUGUUCAGCAUUUUCAACCUAUGUUAUGUUUAAGUGCUAUACCUCAAGUUCUGUAAUCCACCUUUUUCACUCAAUAAUAUACAAUGGGCAUCUUUCCAGAGUAGCUGCUAUAGAUCUACGUCAUCAUUUUCAGUGGCUACAUGCAAUGAAGGUAUCAAAAUCUACUUAAUCAAUUCCUUAAAAUUAUUCACUAUGUGACUGUACACAGUAAAUAGUUCUUUACUAUAUACAUAUAUCUUAACGAACUUUUCCUAUUAUUUUUUAGGAUAAAUUCCUAGACAUGAACUUGCUAGUUUAAAGGCUUUCAAAUCUUGAUUUAUAACGCAUUUGAUACAUUUUGAUACAUAAUAGUUUAGAACAUAUUUAGAACAAAUGCAUCAGUUUAUAUCUCUGCUAAGACCAAGAUCAUACAUUUCCCUUUAUCUUCACAGAACUGGAAAUCACUAUCAAUCAUCCUUAUUCCCAUUCCCAACUGGGCAAUGCCCAAAUAUUAAGACUACCAAGAGAAGGGAUACCAGAAGUAACCCUAAUAAUAUACUUUAUAUCAAGCUUUACCAAACUGUUUCACAUCUAGGAAGGCCUAAACUGAGUCCAAAUUAUACUGCCAAUGCAAUAAGUGAAAAAUGGUGUCUUACUUGGCUCAGGCUACCAUUAAAAAAUACCAUGGUUUAGGGUGGCUUAAGCAACAGAAAUUUAUUUCUCACAAUUCUGGAGGCUGAAAACUUCCAGAUAAAGAUGCCAACAAUGUAAAUUUCUCUCUGCCUGUAAGUGGCUGCCAUCUGGCUGUGCUCAUAUGACCUCUUCUUCGUACAUGGUGGGGGGGUGGAGAAUGAAGUGCUGUGGAGGGGGUUGGUGAGCCCUGCAGUGUCUGUCUCUUCCUAUUAAGGUAUUAAUCCACCUUGAGGGCUCCGUCCUAACCCUAAUUACCUCCCAAAGGCCCCAUCUUCAAAUAUCAUCACACUGGGGGUUAGGUCUUCAACCUAAGAAUUUGAGGAAGGAGUGACCAUUGUGGCACAGCAAAAUGAACCUGACUAGUACCCAUGUGGAUGCAGGUUCUAUCCCUGGCCUCACUCAGUGGGUCAAGGAUCCAGGGUGGUUGUGGUUGUGGCUGUGAUUCGACCCCCAGCGUGGGAACUUCCAUAUGUCACAGGUAUGGCCCUAAAAAAAGCAAAAAAAAAAAAA